rnacentral:rRNA from 1 species
GACGAACGCUGCGGCGUGCUUAACACAUGCAAGUCGAACGGAAAGGCCCUGCUUUUGUGGGGUGCUCGAGUGGCGAACGGGUGAGUAACACGUGAGUAACCUGCCCUUGACUUUGGGAUAACUUCAGGAAACUGGGGCUAAUACCGGAUAGGAGCUCCUGCUGCAUGGUGGGGGUUGGAAAGUUUCGGCGGUUGGGGAUGGACUCGCGGCUUAUCAGCUUGUUGGUGGGGUAGUGGCUUACCAAGGCUUUGACGGGUAGCCGGCCUGAGAGGGUGACCGGCCACAUUGGGACUGAGAUACGGCCCAGACUCCUACGGGAGGCAGCAGUGGCGAAUAUUGCACAAUGGGCGGAAGCCUGAUGCAGCAACGCCGCGUGCGGGAUGACGGCCUUCGGGUUGUAAACCGCUUUCGCCUGUGACGAAGCGUGAGUGACGGUAAUGGGUAAAGAAGCACCGGCUAACUACGUG